AAAUGCCCUUUUCUGCCUUCGCAGCCGGUCCGGGGAUGGGAACGGGCUUCGGUCCCUUCUCCUGUUCCGAGCCCUCCAGAAAAAAAAAGCCCUUUUCGAGCAUCUUCCCAUCGGCAGGGCUGUCGCUUGCUCGAGGUUUCUGGCCAGCAGCUCCAAAGACUGUCACAGCCAUGAUGUGCGUUUGGGAACGUCAUGCAAUGGGGUUUUAACUGUGAUUGGAGGACAUCCUGGCCCCACCAUGGGUGAGAUAAGAACAACUCUCACCUCAAGGGUGAGUGCUUAGGAGUGGAGGCAAAGCCAGCAGGUGGAGCAAGUGAUGGGGGCAGUCCUCCCUGAGAAGCAAAUCAGCCCAUGUGUGCCCCAAAUGACCUAAACUACAACCUUAUGGAGGCUCUUCUGGCGGUAGGGUGCACUGAUGACUGAGCCAGCUCCCACCAUAUGUGGAUUUCCUCAUGCUGGCAGCUCAGUGGGGAGCAGCAGAUCGUAGCUAAAUGCCUUGUGGUCCAAAUGCCAUGGGCCAUCCACUCUGGUUUCAAUAAGAGCAGUGCCCCAGCAACACUACAGUGAGCAACUGCAUGGAGGUUUGAGCCAUUCCGGGGUGGAGGUCACCUUCUCCAUCCCCACCUUUUCCAUAACCCCAAACCCAGCCCCAUCAUGUACAAUGAUAAAAAGGGAACUGGCAGCACAAAACUCAUCCUGAUUUCCAGGCUGCACAACCCUACUGGCUUCUCCAAAAGAAGCAAGAGACACAAACCUGUUCUGUCCCAAGGUUUCCCACUAGACUAAUUACUGCUAAUUGUACCACUUGACUAUCUCUCCAGCCGCACCCUGAGCAGGGCUGAUAGAGUAUCAGUGAGAUAAGGAGCACCCAGAUAGCACAGGUAACAGAACUUUGGGAAGGGUUAUCAACCCUAUCACCUUCCUCUAGGAGGACACCGAGGUCCUAAGGAUGUGUGCAGAGACCAACGUACAACUGUAAGCCUUUUGGGAAAUGGGUUUUGGUGACUGCAGGGAAGCAACCUGGCAUUCAUUUCAUAAUAAUUCCUUUAAAUUCACUUAGCAUGCAGAUUAUUUGUAUGAGCUGUUUUAGUUGUUAUUAACACAACACUGUGGAAAUGGAGGUUUCAUCAUUUCUCCAUUAUUUCCCCCCUCCCACAGAGUAAUAAACGCUGUUCUUUUAACA
rnacentral:lncRNA from 1 species